rnacentral:rRNA from 1 species
ACCGGCAGCUCAAGUGGUGGCCAUUAUUAUUGGGCCUAAAGCGUUCGUAGCCGGUUUGAUAAGUCUCUGGUGAAAUCCCGCAGCUUAACUGUGGGACUUGCUGGAGAUACUAUCAGACUUGAGGUCGGGAGAGGUUAGGGGUACUCCCAGGGUAGGGGUGAAAUGCUCGAAUCCUGGGAGGACCACCUGUGGCGAAGGCGCCUAACUGGAACGAACCUGAUGUUGAGUAACGAAAGCGAGGGGUUCGGACCA